rnacentral:rRNA from 1 species
GACAGAGGCCCCGAGCGUUAGGCGGAAUCACUGGGCUUAAAGCGCGUGUAGGCGGAGGGCUAAGUACCUUGUGAAAUCCCCCGGGCUCAACCCGGGAACUGCUCGGUAUACUGGCCUUCUUGAGGCAUCUAGGGGCGAGCGGAACAAACGGUGGAGCGGUGAAAUGCGUAGAUAUCGUUUGGAACGCCAACGGAGAAAUCAGCUCGCUGGGGAUGUCCUGACGCUGAGACGCGAAAGCCAGGGGAGCAAACGGG